GUGGGGAAUAUUGGACAAUGGGCGGAAGCCUGAUCCAGCCAUGCCGCGUGUGUGAAGAAGGUCUUCGGAUUGUAAAGCACUUUAAGUUGGGAGGAAGGGCAGUAAGCUAAUACCUUGCUGUUUUGACGUUACCGACAGAAUAAGACCGGCUAACUUCGUGCCAGCAGCCGCGGUAAUACGAAGGGUGCAAGCGUUAAUCGGAAUUACUGGGCGUAAAGCGCGCGUAGGUGGUUCAGCAAGUUGGAGGUGAAAUCCCCGGGCUCAACCUGGGAACUGCCUCCAAAACUACUGAGCUAGAGUACGGUAGAGGGUAGUGGAAUUUCCUGUGUAGCGGUGAAAUGCGUAGAUAUAGGAAGGAACACCAGUGGCGAAGGCGACUACCUGGACUGAUACUGACACUGAGGUGCGAAAGCGUGGGGAGCAAACAGGAUUAGAUACCCUAGUAGUCC
rnacentral:rRNA from 1 species